rnacentral:rRNA from 1 species
UACGUAAGGGGCAAGCGUUACCCGGAAUUAUUGGGCGUAAAGCGUCCGCAGGUGGUUUGGUAAGUUUGUUAUUAAAUACCGGUGCUCAACAUCGGUGCUGUAAUGAAAACUGCCUCACUCGAGGAUGGGAGAGGAGUGUGGAAUUGUGCAAGUAGGGGUAAAAUCCGUAGAUAUGCACAGGAACACCAAAAGCGAAGGCAACACUCUGGCCCAAUCCUGACACUCAGGGACGAAAGCGUGGGGAGCGAAACGG